AUGAACGCUAGCGACAGGCUUAACACAUGCAAGUCGAGGGGUAACAGGGUGUAGCAAUACACCGCUGACGACCGGCGCACGGGUGAGUAACGCGUAUGCAACCUGCCUUUGACAGAGGUAUAGCCCAUGGAAACGUGGAUUAAUACCUCAUAGUCUCUUUUUCCUUCCUGGGGAAUAGAGUAAAACGAGAGUGGUCAAAGAUGGGCAUGCGUCCUAUUAGGCAGUUGGCGGGGUAACGGCCCACCAAACCGAUGAUAGGUAGGGGUUCUGAGAGGAAGGUCCCCCACACUGGUACUGAGACACGGACCAGACUCCUACGGGAGGCAGCAGUGAGGAAUAUUGGUCAAUGGUCGAGAGACUGAACCAGCCAAGUCGCGUGAGGGAAGACUGCCCUAUGGGUUGUAAACCUCUUUUCUACUGGGAGAAUAAGCCUUAUGUAUAAGGUGAUGACAGUACAGUAGGAAUAAGCAUCGGCUAACUCCGUGCCAGCAGCCGCGGUAAUACGGAGGAUGCGAGCGUUAUCCGGAUUUAUUGGGUUUAAAGGGUGCGUAGGCGGCUUUAUAAGUUAGUGGUAAAAUUUCGGAGCUUCACUCCGGUCCGCCAUUAAAACUGUAGAGCUAGAGAAUGGACGAGGUAGGCGGAAUAAGUUAAGUAGCGGUGAAAUGCAUAGAUAUAACUUAGAACUCCGAUAGCGAAGGCAGCUUACCAGACCAUAACUGACGCUGAUGCACGAGAGCGUGGGUAGCGAACAGGAUUAGAUACCCUGGUAGUCCACGCCGUAAACCAUGCUCACCGGCCCUUAGCGAUAAGACAGUUAGGGGUUAAUUGAAAAGAUUAAGUGAGCCCCCUGGGGGAGUACGUCGGCAACCAUGAACCUCAAAGGAAUUGACCGGGGGCCCCCACAAGCGGAGGAACCUGGGGGUUUAAUUCGAUGAUACGCGAGGAACCUUACCUGGGUUUAAAUGUAUAUUGCAUAAUCUGAAAACAGUUUUUCUCUUCGGAGCUAUAUACAAGGUGCUGCAUGGUUGUCGUCAGCUCGUGCCGUGAGGUGUCGGGUUAAGUCCCAUAACGAGCGCAACCCUUACCGUUAGUUGCUAGCAUGUAAUGAUGAGCACUCUAGCGGGACUGCCACCGUAAGGUGAGAGGAAGGGGGGGAUGACGUCAAAUCAGCACGGCCCUUACAUCCAGGGCGACACACGUGUUACAAUGGCCAUAACAGCGGGUAGCUACCGGGUGACCGGAUGCAAAUCUCGAAAAUUGGUCUAAGUUCGGAUUGGAGUCUGCAACCCGACUCCAUGAAGUUGGAUUCGCUAGUAAUCGCGCAUCAGCCAUGGCGCGGUGAAUACGUUCCCGGGCCUUGUACACACCGCCCGUCAAGCCAUGGAAGCUGGGAGUACAAGAAGUCCGUAACCGCGAGGAUCGGCCUAGGGUA
rnacentral:rRNA from 1 species